GGAGAGAAGUCUCAGGGAGGGAAUUCUAGAAGGCAUUGUCAUCAUAGGAAGAGGAUCCAAGUUUCACGACACCUGAAGACCUUCCAGUGGGAAAUAAGGAAAGAAAGCUCUCUGAUGCUAAACUUUUCCUAGCAAGAGACCAAGAGUGAUGCUAAGUCCUCUGCUACCAGUAUCGCUCCAUCAAAAAGAUGAGAAACACUGCAACAUCGACCAAGAGAAAAUCUUUUAUCUCUAGAACCCAGAUAUGUGCCCAACCACCCUGUUUUGCUCCUACCAAAGGCAUCUAACUGCAAAUAUAAAUAAAAACUCAAAAUCACA